GCCCGGAUGAUCCUCGGUGGUCCGGGGUGCAGGCUUCAAACCUGUAGACGCUUAGCGGCGUAGUGGUUCAAUUCCACCUUUCGGGU
rnacentral:tRNA from 1 species